rnacentral:tRNA from 1 species
UGCGAGUCGGCCAGCGCCUGGAUGCCGGUCACCUGCACCCGCCAGGUCGGUGGGGACGCGGCGCGCACCGCCCGCUCGAUCGCCGCCGGCGCCCGCGU